CCUACGGGAGGCAGCAGUAGGGAAUCUUCCGCAAUGGACGAAAGUCUGACGGAGCGACGCCGCGUGAGCGAUGAAGGUCUUCGGAUUGUAAAGCUCUGUUGUUAGGGAAGAACAAGUACCGGAGUAACUGCCGGUACCUUGACGGUACCUAACCAGAAAGCCCCGGCUAACUACGUGCCAGCAGCCGCGGUAAU
rnacentral:rRNA from 1 species